CCGUUUUAUCCUCAUUCACAAGACGAAGUGACUUAUCACACAGGGCAUGCCGGGAAUGCAUGUAUAAAAAUUUCGAUACGAAGAACAAGCUGAGAUUAAAAAACACUUAUCACUUACCCUCUGCCGUACGAUAAUGUAAUAAAACCAAAAAUAAACUUGAAGUCGAUUUACAAACAGACUAUCAGUGACAAUAACAGUUUUGGGUUCGUCUUUAUGAGGAAGCCUCGCAGUGUGAAGUAAAGCUCUAUCCAGCGAAAUAUGCGAUUGGGAAGAAGCAAUAACCCAAGGCAUUGACAUGUGGCAGAUCGCCG